rnacentral:rRNA from 1 species
GACGAAGGGGGCUAGCGUUGUUCGGAAUUACUGGGCGUAAAGCGCGUGUAGGCGGUUGUUCAAGUCAGGUGUGAAAGCCUUGAGCUCAACUCAAGAAAUGCACUUGAUACUGGAUGACUAGAGGACCGGAGAGGAUAGUGGAAUUCCCAGUGUAGUGGUGAAAUACGUAGAGAUUGGGAAGAACACCAGUGGCGAAGGCGGCUCACUGGCCCGGAACUGACGCUGAGGUGCGAAAGCGUGGGGAGCAAACAGG